rnacentral:rRNA from 1 species
GAUGAACGCUGGCGGCGUGCCUAAUACAUGCAAGUCGAGCGAACAGACGAGGAGCUUGCUCCUCUGACGUUAGCGGCGGACGGGUGAGUAACACGUGGAUAACCUACCUAUAAGACUGGGAUAACUUCGGGAAACCGGAGCUAAUACCGGAUAAUAUAUUGAACCGCAUGGUUCAAUAGUGAAAGACGGUUUUGCUGUCACUUAUAGAUGGAUCCGCGCCGCAUUAGCUAGUUGGUAAGGUAACGGCUUACCAAGGCAACGAUGCGUAGCCGACCUGAGAGGGUGAUCGGCCACACUGGAACUGAGACACGGUCCAGACUCCUACGGGAGGCAGCAGUAGGAAAUCUUCCGCAAUGGGCGAAAGCCUGACGGAGCAACGCCGCGUGAGUGAUGAAGGUCUUCGGAUCGUAAAACUCUGCUAUUAGGGAAGAACAAAUGUGUAAGUAACUAUGCACGUCUUGACGGUACCUAAGCAGAAAGCCACGGCUAACUACGU